rnacentral:tRNA from 1 species
GGGGAGGUAGUCUAACUUGGUUAGGACGCUGGCCUUGGGCGCCAGGAAUCUGGGUUCAAAUCCCAGCCUCCCCA